UCAUCUACCUCUCAACUUACACAUGCAAGUAUCAGCACACCCGUGAGAACGCCCUUCCACCUUCAUAGAACAAGGAGCCGGUAUCAGGCACAGAUUUCUAGCCCACGACACCUAGCUUUGCCACACCCUCAAGGGUACUCAGCAGUGAUUAACAUUGUUUAUAAGCGCCAGCUUGACUCAGUUAGAGAGCCUAGAGCCGGCUAAUACGGUGCCAGCCGCCGCGGCUACACCGCUAGGCUCAAGUUGAUAUUACUCGGCGUUAAGCGUGUUUAAAGUGCAUACUAAAUUAGAAUUAAACUACAACCAAGCUGUGACACGCUUGUUCCUAAGAAAGCCACAUACGAAAGUUAUUCUAACCUAACCACUUGAACCCACGACAGCUAGGACACAAACUGGGAUUAGGUACCCCACUAUGCCUAGCCGUAAAAUAUUUACUUACACCUUUAACCGCCUGGGAAUUACGAGCCCAAGCUUAAAACCCAAAGGACUUGACGGUGCCCCACCCACCUAGAGGAGCCUGUUCUUAAAAUCGAUUCCAGUCGUAAGCUUACCAUAUGAACGCUUAUUAGUGAGCUAAAAAGAUUUUUACAUAAAUACGUCAGGUCAAGGUGCAGCCCACGAAGUGGUAAGAAAUGGGCUACAAUUUCUACAACUAGAACACAACGAAAGACUAUAUGCAACUUAGUCAUGAAGGCGGAUUUAGAAGUAAAAAGAAAGUAGAGAGUUCUUUUUAAUUAGGCGCUGGGACGCGUACACACCGCCCGUCACCCUCUUCAAACGAUACAACUUAGUAUUUAACAGCUUUAUGCACUACAGAAGAGGUAAGUCGUAACACGGUAAGCGUACUGGAAAGUGCGCUUGGAUAAACAAAAUGUAGGUUAAUCAAAGCAUCUCGCUUACACCGAGAACAUGUCCGUGAAAAUCAGAUC
rnacentral:ncRNA from 1 species